AGCUCAAAUUUGAAAGCUGGCCCCUCCGGGGUCCGCGUUGUAAUUUGCAGAGGAUGCUUUGGGUGCGGCCCCCGUCUAAGUGCCCUGGAACGGGCCGUCAGAGAGGGUGAGAAUCCCGUCUUGGGCGGGGUGUCCGUGCCCGUGUAAAGCUCCUUCGACGAGUCGAGUUGUUUGGGAAUGCAGCUCUAAAUGGGUGGUAAAUUUCAUCUAAAGCUAAAUACUGGCCGGAGACCGAUAGCGCACAAGUAGAGUGAUCGAAAGAUGAAAAGCACUUUGAAAAGAGAGUUAAACAGCACGUGAAAUUGUUGAAAGGGAAGCGCUUGCGACCAGACUCGCCCUCGGGGUUCAGCCGGCACUCGUGCCGGUGUACUUCCCCGGGGGCGGGCCAGCGUCAGCUUGGGCGGCCGGUCAAAGGCCUCCGGAAUGUAGUGCCCCCCGGGGCACCUUAUAGCCGGAGGUGCAAUGCGGCCAGCCUGGGCUGAGGAACGCGCUUCGGCACGGACGCUGGCAUAAUGGUCGC
rnacentral:rRNA from 1 species